ensembl:miRNA MIR1273H microRNA 1273h
UACUUGGGUGACUAAGGCAGGAUUGCUUGAGCCUGGGAGGUCAAGGCUGCAGUGUCGUGGUCACAGCUUGCUGCAGACUCGACCUCCCAGGCUUAAGCAAUCCUCCUGCUCGAGUG